rnacentral:lncRNA from 1 species
GAGCGUUGCCGAAGUAAAUUUAAGCAAGAUAAUGAAUUUGCUUCAGAUACAUGUGUACAAUUCAUUUUGACGAAAGGUUAUACAAACGGAUCAGUUUUUGACUGAGCGCUUUUUUGGUACUUUUGUACUCCCAGACACUAAACAUAGAGGUGGAAAGUACCAAUAAAUUGUCAUCCUAGAUUCUAAUUCUAUGCACUGCUGUUAAUUUGAGCCCAACCAUAUAUAGCUUAGAUGUGAGAUCUGUCAUAUGAUCCUAGCUCAUCACCGUAUGUCUAUCGCGACCUUGUCUCAGUCGGGGCAGCCGCAUAAGCUCGUCUUCUCAUCUUCGCUUGCAAAUACAGGUGUCAUUCCAAUUCUUUAGGACCGAAUUUGCGACUCCUUUUGGUGUAUUCAUUGAAGAAGAGGUUUUGCAUCACACUUACAGCACAUGUCACCAUCGAUCGGCGGAGCCAGCCUGAUCCAGCAGCCCGGGUAAAACCUGUUAAGAUAAUUUAGCAUGUGAUCUAAUUAUUAGUUAAUUAAUAGUAAACUUGGAAGUUAAUUAGCAACCGCCUCUUUUCUCUUUGUUUCUCACGGUUGAGACCAAACGGGCACUGGCGUCCCAAUAUUCCAAAAUUUGGGACGUCUGUGCCCAAAUAUUGGGACGCCUGUGUCUCCUCCCCUUGUAUAUAUAUGAACACAUUCAAUGGAAAGAACACACAUUCAUUCAUUUCACAACACGUUAUCAGCCACGUUUGUCUCUCCAACAAUAAAGAGCAAAAAUCACAGAAGAGAAAGAUGAGAAAUGGCGAUCUACGAUAUGCCCCUAGUUCUUGUGGCUCUCCUCGAGUUCUUUGGCCAAGAUGCAAGACACAGGGGAACUUACCGUCGCCGCUCGGCUCGCCGCCGAUGGAUCCCACGCCGCCGCUGGACCCGCACGGGUGGCCUCCAUGUCCGCCGUGGCCGCCGGUUCGCCGCCAUGGAGACCCGUGCCGGCCCAAGUACGGCCGCUCCGACCACUGCACCGCCGGCCUCCCCAGACUACUCGCCGUCGAUGGACUGGAUCUUGACGGACACCGCGCCUCCGGCCGCCGACCCCGCUACAACGGCCGACGACGACACCGGUGAAGUGCUCGACGUCGUCCCCCCGGAGGCCCGGUGCCUUCUCUGCAAGUUCGCGACCGCCAUGGCCGCCCACCGUGCCGGUCCGGUCGCCGGCGGUUGGGACCCGGCGGCCCUCGGUCUCUCCUCCUCCAACGGGGGGGGGGGGGGGGGGGCUCCCUCUAAGCGCGCCGGCAAGUGGCGGCGGGCUGCGCAGAAGAAGGCGGCGGCGGCGGCGGCGGGAUGGGGCAGGGGAAACCCUAACCCUAACUGCCUCCCCCCCCUCACCCCCUUUAUACCCAACCGCCCGACCCCCUUAGCCUUGACCUGGGCCGGCCGAAAGGCCGCCGAGGCCCAGGCCCACCCGCUGGAACCCCCCUGUGCGCGCGCCCUCCCCACUCGCAAAAGGACAUUUUGCAAAAAAGCCCGAAGAUUUUGGCUAUUUGCGAUUUGGUCCAAGUAUCUAGUUA